ACGCUCGACACCUACGGAAGGCAGCAGUCGGGAAUAUUGCGCAAUGGAGGAAACUCUGACGCAGUGACGCCGCGUGCAGGAAGAAGGUUUUCGGAUUGUAAACUGCUUUAGACAGGGAAGAAGAAGUGACAGUACCUGUAGAAUAAGCUCCGGCUAACUACGCGCCAGCAGCCGCGGUAAUCUGAGCGGGCUGGCAAGGC
rnacentral:rRNA from 1 species